rnacentral:rRNA from 1 species
CCAAAUUAAGAAUAUACCCAAAGUAGUAUGACCUCAGAUGCUAAUCAGGGUCAGGCUUGUAGGUACUUGGACGAGGAUGUGUUGUAUUCACUUAAAAAGAAAAAGAAAAAACUUAGA